GGAAUAUAAAGCAGGCAGAAAAACGUGAAAAGACUGGCCUAGCCUCCCAGCCUACAUCUUUCUCCCAUGCUGGAUGCUUCCUGCCCUCAAACACUGGACUCCAGGUUCUUGUUUUGGGACUUGGACUGGCUCUCCUUGCUCCUCAGCUUACAGAUGCCUAUUGUAGGACCUUGUGAUAGUGUAGCUGUAUGGUGAGCAUUCCUCUCCCAGCAAUCUGUUGUUCUUUGUGAGCAGACUGGAGUGUGACAGCUGUGAAAACGAUCAAAGGCAGGUCCCAGACAGGAGAGGGCUGAUGACAAUGCCAGUUUCCCUCUAAGACCCUGUGGACAGCAGGGCCAUGAGGGAUGCUGUGACACAGAGUCUUGCUUGAUGCAGUGUGUGGUGUUACUCACAGGAGUGGGUUCAGCCACUCUUGGUGUGAAACCCAAGGAAAAUGUCUCUGCCGCAGCUGAUGUCAACAUGUACAGCAUGUGACCAGCUUGCAUUCAGAAAGGAGAUGUGUGUAUGAGUUCUGCAGAAGUCCACCAAAUGUGGGCCAGGGUUAUUUCCCUGGUGAUGCUCUGAAGCUUUUGCCAAAGGACAAAUGGAAACAGGAAGUACAAUCAUGCACUGGGGUAAAGAAGAUUCAUCUGCUCUUAGCUACCUACCAUGCCAACACUCCUGAGAAAGCUCACAGAGGCCCAUGAUGCCCACCUGGAUCUGAGGACCUAGAAAGCCACAACAGGCAACCAUAAUCUGGGUCUUCCCUCAGCCAACUCCCCUGCAUAAAGUGAAUGAAUGAAAAACCCAUCUUAUAUUAAUCAGAGUUCUCUAGAGAAAAAGAACCAAUCAGAUGUGUAUAUAUAGAAAGAGAGAAUUAUUUUAGGGAAUUAGCUCACAUCAUUAUGCAGGCUGGUCAAUCAAAAAUCUGUGGAGUGGGCUAGCAGGCUGGAGACCCAGGGAAAGGCUAAAUUGCAGUUUAGAUCAGAAGGUCAUCUACUGGCAGAAUUCCCUCAUCUUCCAGGAAGGUGGAUCUUUUUCUACCAAGGCCUUCAGUUUAUUAGAUUAGGCCCAUGAACAUGCUGGAGGGUAAUCUGCUUUACUCAAUACAUACUGAUUUGAAUGUUAGUAUCAUCAAAAAGACCUUCACAGAAACAUCUAAAAUAAUGUUUGACCAAAUGUCUGCAUACCAUGGCCAAGCCAAGUUUACACAUAAAAUUAAUUAUCACACAUCCCACGAACACCAUCCCCAACAGAUGCUCAUGAGCAUUGUGGUUAUGAUUUCAACUUCAGAAUAAGGCAGAAAUGUGUACAAAUCCUGACCCUUUGACUUAUCAGCUCUCUAAAAAUCAUUAUAUGUCAACUUUCUAGACUUUACCUGAAAAACAGAAACCAAGAUACCCACAGCAUAAGAUUGUUAGGAUUGAAGAAAUUGUUACGAUUGUUAGGUAUGAAGAAAUUUAAACAAUGAUGCAGCUGAGAUAUUUAGAAUUGUACCUGGCAUGUACUUUGUAUUAAAUAACUAAUAAGGCCUUUUUCUGGUGAAAACAAAAUAAGCCUGGAUAAAAGAAGAUGAGACCAGAUUGGUUGAUGGCUCGGCCUGGGUGGGCUCCUGGCCCAUCUGAAAUUACAUUACUCUUAUGUAGUGCCUUUUUUGUUAUUGCUAAAAUAAAAUAAAUAAAACACUCUACUUUCAUACUUUGUAAAAUGCACUUCUCAUUCAGUUCCUCUUCCUGUGCCUUUUCCCUAUUGUCUAUCUGCACACAGCUGUUUUCUUCUGCACAUUUUCAUCACAGAGAAUUACCAGGUGUAGGUCAAAAGAUGCCACAGAGAUAACAAAGGAAAGGAAAAGCUUUUCUGCACUUCUAUCCUUGUAAGCACAAAAAUUAAUCACACUUUCAGUAAACAGGUCAGGUAAGUCAGUCCUGCACUUGAACCUUUUCUCCCCAAAUAAAUAGUUGAAAUGGGAAUGUCGAUUUCUGUAUUUGAACAGAAAUGUAUUAGUGUAGCUUUCAAAAGAAGACUACUCUCUCCAUAUGAAUAUCAUCAGACCCACAAAUACACAUAUGCAUACAUUCACAGUUCAUCCUAACGCUGCAGAAUAUUCUAAGAGUAACACAUUUCUGUACAAAUCAAGCAGCAGCUUUCACUUGCAUGCUAAUCUUCAAAUUAAUUCUGCAAUGAUCCAUUCAUUCCACAUCCCAACCUACAUCCUCAGAAAAACAAAGAUGUAAGUAAGGAACUCAGUAUAACAUGUUUGACUUUAGACACUACUCAAAUAUACUCAAACUUUAUAUGAAUAUGGAUAUUGCUCCUAGAUUAGGCAGUUCAGAAAACAAAUCUUGAUUAUUCUUAGUUACAAUGUAGUAUAAAAUAACAACAAUUUCAUGUCAACAACAGAAUCUCCUAAAAGAUCUUAUAAAGAUAAAAAGUCUUAGGUGUUAGUCGUCAAAGACUAAGUUGUAAAUGUAUCAUUGUAUUUGUGUAGUUAAUAAAACCCUAGACAAGAUAUGGGUUCCAGUUCUUGAACCACCACCACCUGUUCACCUUAAAUAAGUCAACUAAC
rnacentral:lncRNA from 10 species